GUAUAAAAUUUUGCUCGCCCAUCCUUUCCAUGAAACAUUUGUGAUUUAAGCUUUAAGAAUCUUUGUGGGAUGAUUCUCCCCUCUUCCCAUUGCAAUAGACUUCUUAAUAAAAUGUUUUCAAGUUCCUGUCCAGAUUGGAUGACUUACUAUAGUGGUAAUGGUGCCAUGAUUUGAACAAAAUUCUGGCUGCCCCUCAACUGUUGUUUUUCUUCAACUUGCUGUGAUUGGACAGUAUGCUGACUUCCAGCCUGCUCUCUUCAGGCAAGUGGUGGUGCUGUCUCGUUAAACUCUUUGAAACCUGACUUGGAAAGCAAAAUCAAAAAUGAUGGUGGAUAAAGUCCAGCCAUGGCCACUUGCAUUUUAUAGUGCAGAGAAAACAUAGUCGGAUGGAUCUUUCCAACCAAACUAGUAGACAACAAUCUUUAAUGAAAGUAUAAAUAAAGGAGCAUUUGGAAC
rnacentral:lncRNA from 1 species